GUGGGGAAUAUUGGACAAUGGGCGCAAGCCUGAUCCAGCCAUGCCGCGUGAGUGAUGAAGGCCUUAGGGUUGUAAAGCUCUUUCGCCGGGGACGAUGAUGACGGUACCCGGAGAAGAAGCCCCGGCUAACUUCGUGCCAGCAGCCGCGGUAAUACGAAGGGGGCUAGCGUUGUUCGGAAUUACUGGGCGUAAAGCGCGCGUAGGCGGUCAGCCAAGUCAGGGGUGAAAGCCCGGGGCUCAACCUCGGAACUGCCCUUGAGACUGGUUGACUUGAGUAUGGAAGAGGGUCGUGGAAUUCCCAGUGUAGAGGUGAAAUUCGUAGAUAUUGGGAAGAACACCAGUGGCGAAGGCGGCGACCUGGUCCAUUACUGACGCUGAGGUGCGACAGCGUGGGGAGCAAACAGGAUUAGAUACCCCUGUAGUCC
rnacentral:rRNA from 1 species